GCCCGGUUGGUGGAAUUGGUAGACACACUUGGUUUAGGUCCAAGCGCGAGAGCAUGGGGGUUCGAGUCCCUCACCGGGCACCA
rnacentral:tRNA from 12 species